rnacentral:rRNA from 1 species
GGCUGCAACUCGCCUGCAUGAAGUCGGAAUUGCUAGUAAUCGUAGGUCAGCAUACUACGGUGAAUACGUUCCCGGGCCUUGUACACACCGCCCGUCAAACCAUGAGAGUUGGCAACACCCGAAGUCGGUAGUCUAACCGCAAGGAGGACGCCGCCGAAGGUGGGGUUGAUGAUUAGGGUUAAGUCGUAACAAGGUAGC